rnacentral:rRNA from 1 species
UACGAAGGGGGCUAGCGUUGCUCGGAAUCAUUGGGCGUAAAGCGCACGUAGGCGGCUCUGCAAGUCGGAUGUGAAAUCCCUCGGCUCAACCGAGGACGUGCAUCCGAAACUGCGGAGCUUGAGUAUGGAAGAGGGUCGCGGAAUCCCCGGUGUAGAGGUGAAAUUCGUAGAUAUCGGGGGGAACACCAGUGGCGAAGGCGGCGACCUGGGCCAAUACUGACGCUGAGGUGCGAAAGCGUGGGGAGCAAACAGG